UACGGGGGGGAGCAAGCGUUGUUCGGAUUUACUGGGCGUAAAGGGCGCGUAGGCGGCGUGACAAGUCACUUGUGAAAUCUCCGGGCUUAACUCGGAACGGUCAAGUGAUACUGUCGUGCUAGAGUACAGAAGGGGCAACUGGAAUUCUCGGUGUAGCGGUGAAAUGCGCAGAUAUCGGGGAAGAACACCUAUGGCGAAGGCAGCUCUCUGGGACGGUACUGGACGCUGAGACGCGAAAGCGUGGGGAGCGAACAGG
rnacentral:rRNA from 1 species